AGUGAACGCUGGCGGUAGGCCUAACACAUGCAAGUCGAACGGCAGCACAGUAAGAGCUUGCUCUUACGGGUGGCGAGUGGCGGACGGGUGAGGAAUACAUCGGAAUCUACUUUUUCGUGGGGGAUAAUGUAGGGAAACUUACGCUAAUACCGCAUACGACCUACGGGUGAAAGCAGGGGAUCUUCGGACCUUGCGCGAUUGAAUGAGCCGAUGUCGGAUUAGCUAGUUGGCGGGGUAAAGGCCCACCAAGGCGACGAUCCGUAGCUGGUCUGAGGGGAUGAUAGGCCACACUGGAACGGAGACACGGUCCAGACUCCUACGGGAGGCGGCAGUGGGGAAUAUUGGACAAUGGGCGCAAGCCUGAUCCAGCCAUACCGCGUGGGUGAAGAAGGCCUUCGGGUUGUAAAGCCCUUUUGUUGGGAAAGAAAAGCAGCAGGUUAAUACCCCGCUGUUCUGACGGUACCCAAAGAAUAAGCACCGGCUAACUUCGUG
rnacentral:rRNA from 1 species